GUUUAUCAGUUUCUUGCAUGAAUUAAUUCCUGAUCAAUUUUAAAUGGUUACACUAAUUAGAUUUCUAAUUCAUAAUAAAUUAAUAGAUUAAAGAGAAUCAUCAAAAUUAGCAGUUUUGUUAAAGUUUUGUAAGGCCUUAAUUUUUAUCCAUCUCAUUCACCUAUCAAAUGAUUUUUAAUUGAUGUUAAAUUUUAUAUAAAUGAUAUAUAUGAUAAUAACUUUCGAUCCAACAAUGAAUUUUGUUAUGCAGAUAUGGACGUUAAAGAGUUAUCGAAUCUCUAAUGUUACUGAGUUUAAUACUUUGGUGACAUUUGAUCCGGAUUCUUUAUAUUAAUAUGUCUAUUAGUCCAUAUGCCUUGCUUUCUUCACUUCAUGUCUAUCAUUUAUGAGCAAUCAUAUCAAUUAUUUAAUUUUUUCUUGUGUUUCAGACUUGUUUCAGUUUCACAGCAACUUGGUUUUGGCUUUUACAGUUGCAAUGGCAUUGGCUUGCAAUAGCCUCCAAAGCAGCUCUUCUUCACCAAAGAUGAGAUGGAAAUAUGAUGUGUUUGUGAGCUUUAGAGGAGAAGACACUCGCAACAAUUUCACCGAUCACCUCUUUGGCGCUCUUCGUAAGAAAGCUAUUAUUACCUUCAGGGAUGAUACAAAGCUCAAGAAAGGGGAAGAUAUAUCACUUGAGCUUCUACAAGCUAUUGAAGGAUCCCAAAUUUUGAUUGUUAUUUUCUCAACAAACUAUGCUUCUUCCACAUGGUGCUUGCAAGAACUAGCAAAAAUUGCUGCAUGCAUUGAAGUUCCAGGACAAUCUGUUCUACCUAUUUUCUUUGAUGUCAGUCCUUCUGAGGUACGAAAGCAAUGCGGAGAUUAUGAAAAAGCCUUUCAAGGGCAUGAAGAAAGAUUCAAAGCAACUUUAGAGAAAGUGCAAAGAUGGAGAGGAGCUCUAACACAAGUAGCCAAUCUCUCUGGUUGGGACUUAAGGGAUAAGUAAGUACUCUUUUCUAUCUUUGCAACAAGUUGAACUAUUCAAUUAAUUACAAAAGAGUACAUAAUAUUUUCUAGUUUUUUUUUGUUUAGAGCUGUCAUGUGAUGAUUUGGUAUUUCUUUCCUCUGGUCUUUUAGGCCACAAUAUGCAGAGAUUGGAGAAAUUACUAAAAAGGUAACAUGCUUAUUGGGAAAUAAAUCUUCGACUUUACCUAGGGAUAUAGUUGGGAUGCCCUCCAGAGUGGAAGAAUUAGAAAACCAUCUGAAUUUGGACUCAAAUGAUGAUGAUGUUCGAGUAAUAGGGAUUUGUGGAAUGGGUGGAAUAGGAAAGACGACUCUUGCUACUGCUUUGUAUGCUAGAAUCUCUAAUCAAUUUGAUGCUUGCUGCUUUAUUGAUGAUGUAAGUAAAAUUUAUGGAGAUCAUGGCCCAAUUGGAGUACAAAAGCAACUUCUGCGUCAAACUCUAAAUGAAGAAAAUCUUCAAAUAUGCAAUCUUCCUAUGGCUUCUAAUUUGAUUCGAACUAGGCUAUCUCGAAAAUUUAUGGAGAUCAUGGCCCAAUUGGAGUACAAAAGCAACUUCUGCGUCAAACUCUAAAUGAAGAAAAUCUUCAAAUAUGCAAUCUUCCUAUGGCUUCUAAUUUGAUUCGAACUAGGCUAUCUCGAUUAAAAUCCCUUGUUUUUCUUGAUAAUGUGGAUGAAGUUGAACAACUGGAUAAAUUGGAUAUGAGACUAGAAUGGCUAGGCAGAGGGAGUAGAAUAAUCAUAAUUUCUAGAAAUGGGCACAUCUUGACAGAGUAUGGAGUAGAUGAAGUAUACAGAGUUCGACUCUUGGAUCGUAAAUGUGCCCUUCAAUUGUUUUGCCAGAAAGCUUUCAAAAGUGAUGACAUCAUGAGUGGUUACAUAUACUUGACAAAAGAAGUACUAGCAUAUGCCAAUGGCCUUCCACUCGCAAUUAAAGUGUUGGGCUCGUUUCUGUAUGGUCGAGAUGUGUCUGAGUGGAGAAGUGCAUUGUCAAGAUUAAGAGAGAACCCAAGGACAGAUAUUAUGAAUGGACUCCGAAUUAGUUUUGAUGGACUAGAGGAUACAGAAAAGGACAUAUUUCUUGAUAUUGCUUGUUUCUUUCAUGGAUACGGGAAGGGAUACGUGAAGAAAAUUUUAGAUUUUCGUGGAUUUCAUCCUGAUAUUGGUUUAAAAGUUCUCGUUGAUAAAUCAUUCAUAACUUACGAGAAACAGAUAAUUUGCAUGCAUGAUUUGUUUAGAGAACUGGGAAAGAGUAUCGUUAGAGAAAAAUCACCCAAAGAACCAAGAAAGUGGAACAGGUUGUGGGACUACAAAGACGUCCACAAUGUUAUCUCAGAAAACAUGGUAACAUAGUUAUUGAAAUAAAACAAUUGCUUGCCAUUUUUUCCACAAUCGAUUAAUAAAUUUGAAGUAUCUAUACUCUUUAAUUUCAUUUGCAAUACUGUAGGCAACAGAAAACCUUGAAGCCAUGAUGAUGAAGUAUGAUUCAGAAAAGGAUAUAGAAAUACAACAGAUGACAACAUUGAGGGCCGAAGCUUUAGCACAAAUGAGUCGCCUUAAAUUGCUCAGGUUGUUGACGUUUAAUUUCUCAGGAAGUCUCAAUUUUCUUUCAAGUGAAUUGGGGUAUCUACAUUGGGAUAAAUAUCCUUUCACUAGUUUGCCAUCAAGUUUUCAGGCAUAUAAACUUGUUGAACUGAUCCUACGUCAUAGCAACAUUAGGAAACUAUGGGAAGGCACAAAGGUACUAUAGAAAUGGUUAUGAGUCAUUGCUUUUCGUUUUCUGAUGAGCACAAAAAGUUUUUAUCUCACAAUAUUUAUUUAUACUUUCAGUGCAGUUAGUUAAUGAAAUGAAUUAAAGUUAAAGUAUGAUUUUGAAUUUGUCUCUUUCUGUUUUUCAUUGCCUGCAGUCUCUACCUAAUUUGACACGUAUUGAUCUCAGUUACUCAAAGAAUCUUAAUAUGAUGCCAAAUUUUGAGGAGACUCCAAAUCUUGAGAGCCUAGAUCUUGUAGGAUGUAUAAAACUCGUGAAGAUUGAUCCAUCCAUUGGUACAUUAAGGAGGCUUUCCAGAUUAAAUUUGCAAAAUUGUACAAAUUUGGUCAGUAUUCCUAACAACAUUUUUGGUCUGAAUUCUCUCGAACAUUUAGAUCUCUCAGGCUGUCCAAACUUAUUUAAGAAUCUGUUAGAUAUACAAAGCCAAAUAGAACAUCUGGAGAUGCUUGAUAACAAGGAAAUCAGUACCCAAUACCAACCAACAUCCUUCAUCUACAAAUUUCUAAAGCCGCACUUUCGAUAUUUGACUUUUCAAAAACCUGAAGAUUCAGUUGGUUUAUUGUUGCCUUCAUUGUCUCGUUUGUCAUGUUUGCAAUAUCUUGACCUGAGUUUCUGCAAUCUUUUUCAAAUCCCUUAUGCAAUUGGGUUGUUACAUUGCUUAGAAACCCUAUAUUUGGGGGGAAACAAUUUUGUGACACUACCUUCUAGCUUGAAAGAACUUUCCAAACUUAAACAAUUAAACUUGCAGCACUGUAAGCGCCUGAAAUAUUUUCCUGAGCUCCCAUCAAAAACUGUUUUGCCAGUAAGAAAAACAUGUUUUGGUAGAUAUUCAGCUGGGUUAUAUAUAUUUGACUGCCCCAGUUUAGUUGAGAUGGAAAGCUAUUUUGGAAUUGCUUUUUCUUGGAUGAUACAACUUCUUCAGGUCACUACUCCAUCAUUUUUCCUUUUGUCUGUAUUUAUAUAUUUGUUUUUAUGUGAUUGAACCAAUAUAUUUGAUACCAGGUUCACAUGCAAUCCGAGAUCCCAAGGACAGACAUUACAAUUGUUAUUCCCAAAACUCAAAUUCCAAAGUGGUUCACCAAACAAAGUGUAGGCAGUUCAAUAAGCAUCGAUCCAUCAUCCAUUAUGCAUGACAAGUGGUUCACCAAACAAAGUGUAGGCAGUUCAAUAAGCAUCGAUCCAUCAUCCAUUAUGCAUGACAAGAAUUUGAUAGGCAUCGCUUGCUGCUUAACAUUUGUAGCGCAUGAUAAUCCUACUAAUUAUGGUUCACCAAACAAAGUGUAGGCAGUUCAAUAAGCAUCGAUCCAUCAUCCAUUAUGCAUGACAAGAAUUUGAUAGGCAUCGCUUGCUGCUUAACAUUUGUAGCGCAUGAUAAUCCUACUAAUUUAAAGGAAGAACUGUCACCUUAUAUUGGGUUUGGUUUUAAACUUACACAGAGUGGGAUCUAUCGAAUUAUUCCCAUACAUUUUGAAAAAGAUCUGGUCACAGUUGAUUUAGAUCACCUGUUGCUAAUUUUUUUCAGUAGGGAGGAAUUUAUUGAUUUGAUAAGUCGUGCCACAAAGGGAUGGGAUGAUCACGAGGGAUGGGAUGAUAUUAGUGGUAUUGAAUUGAGUGCUACAGUUUAUCAGCCCUUUGGUUUGCACUUGGAGGUAAAAAAUUGUGGUUAUCGUUGGAUAUUUAAGGAGGACCUGGAACAAUUAAACCCACAAAAGAUGUACAAGGGAAAUUCGUCAGUUCAGCCAUAUUAUUGAGCUGAUUGAUAAAAAACUCUGAAAUUUUCUUUUUUAAAGAUGAUUUUUUGUUAGUUUUCUUUUUAUCUAGUGUCAAUAUUAAUGUACAUUGUUAUAGUGAUAACAAUGAACAUGUUUUGAUCAUUGAUUCUCUUUAAUGAGAUAUUACUAAAUGCCAAAGUCUUGGAUAUAUUAAUGGCAAUGUUAAGUUGAAGUUAUUGGUGGUCUAGCUCUUGUAAAUCACCUGACCAUUUUUUGCCUCAAGUACAAACUAUUAAAAUAUUAAGGGUAAUGCUAACUUGUGUUCUAAGGAUAUAAGUUAAAGAGAUAAAUAAAAUAAAAAAUCUUGGAAAUUGUGCGGUUAAUUUAAUACAAACUUAUAUUUAAUGAUUCUAUUAUUUUUUUCAAUAAAUACUUUUUAUUUAUGGAUUUUUUAAAGGACACACGUUAGCAUUAUCAAAAUAUCAAAAUAUCCUUUCCAAAAACAAAUAUAUCCACCCAGGACCGUCCCAAUCAAUUUGGAGGCCCUGUUUUAUUUUAAAAUUAGAUAUUUAAUAGAUGAAAACACAACAAAUUAAAAAAAAAUAUAUUUUAUUUAAUUCUAAAUAAAAUUAAAUAUAUAGAAAUAAAGAUGAUAAAAAAUACUAUGUAGAAAUUUGAUUUAUCGAAGUUUAGUUAUUCGCGUCUUCCUUCUGUUACCAUCUUCGAUUUAUAAAAAAAAGUUCAUAUCAUUUAAUAAAAGACAAAAAUUCUUUGAACAAUUUCCACAAUAUUAAUAAUGAAGUGUUUUAUUUAAUAAACAAUCAACAGUAUAAAAUUAUAAAUUUUCAAAGUCUCACAACUACUAUUUCAAAUUUAUUAAUGCAGUGAUUCACAAUGAUACAAAAAUAUAAAUAUUUUCAAAAUUACAUCUCAAAAUUUUUCAUAGAUCUAUAAAAUGUAUUAAUAAAAGAAAAAAAAAUUAAUUAGGUUAAUUGUGAUAUUAAAUUUUAAAUAAAUUUAAAUAUAAUUUAUUUAGAUUAUCGGCUGCUGGAUAGGAUAUACUUCAAUAUAUUAAUAAAAGAAAAUAUUUAUUAAAUUAAUUGUAAUAUUAAAUUAAAUUUAAAAACAAUGUGGUGUCAUUUUUUUAUAAAAGUAAAAAUAUAUAUAUGUAAGAACAAGGAAUCAAACCUAGGUUGUAUUACUACCAAAAUAGUAUGACCACCGCUAGGCUACACUACAAUCAUAUGUUAAAAUGGAAUUAGUGAUAUAUAUUCGUUAGUCUUAUAUUUAUAUUGACCCUAUCGAUCAAAUUCGGGAUCCUAAAAAGUCGGAGGCCCUGUGCGGUAGCACUUCUCGCACCCCACAGGGCCGCCCCACCAAGCCUUCAUGUUUGACCUUUGUAAUGAUUAGAUCGUUUUUGUUAUUUUUGUUCUGCAAUAGUCAUUUAAGUUACAAAAUAUUUACAACAUUGAACACAAAAUAUCAAUUUAUUAAUGAUAAAUGCUAAUGUAUUAAUUAAGUUAGUAACAUGGACAUCAAACACUGUAUAAUGUCCAUGGCAACACUUAUUGACUCAUCAUCUUCAUCCUCCAAACCAUUAUUUUAAAAACCUAAAUAAUUUACCAUAAAGUAAAAAGAAAAUAGUUGAAGUCAUGAAUUAAAUGACAUUUUUGUUUUAGGUUUAAAAAAUUGUUUUUUCUUAAUUUUUAAAAAUUAAUUUUCAAAAUAUUUCAAUUUUUUUUAAAUUUAAAGAUUAAUUUUGACAUCCUAUAACAUAAACAUACAUUAUUGAAAUAUAAUCGAUAAUUUUUUGAAAUAGUUGUAUUUCAAAAAUGAUUUUUACGAAAUUAAAAUUAAGUGAUUUUUUAAAAUUUUGAUAUUUAAUAAAAUUUCAAUAAAAUAAUUAAAUAUUUAAAAUAAUAUUUUAAAAAUAAAUAUUCAAACCAAAUUUGCAUUCGAAGGUUUUAUGAAAAUUUCUCUGUAAAUUCUUUUACACAAUUAUAUAAAACUAUAACAACCAUUUUAAAAAAAAGUUCAAAACAAACAUCUUUCAACCUUUAGUCAAACGUCAAAAUCACCUUCUUUGCACCAUUUGUUGGAACUAGACAUGGUAAUGAGGCGGAUCAAAGACAUUUUUUUACUUUCCCCAAAUCUAAAUCCAAAUCUCAAAAAAAUUCUCCUUCUCCGUUCCAAUUCUCAUCCGGAUGAAGAAUUAAAACCCAAACUCAUCACAAACAAGUCUGGGUUUGGUUGGGGUGUCCGCGCCUCGCCACUAUCUAUUUAAUGAAAUUAAUUUUUUUUAAUAAAAAUAUUUAUUUUUUCAAAAUCAAAUUAUAUUACAAAUAGUAAAAUAAAACAUUUUAAAAAAAAUUCAUCUGUACAUUUCAAAUAUUUUAAAUAAUAAAUACAAAAAAAAUUAAAAUAUUAAUCACAUAUUUAAUUUUCUAAAUUAUCAAAAUAAAAUAAUAAAAUACAUAAUAAAAUAAAUAAGGCGGGUUCGAGGACGGAUUCAAGGUGACUGCUAAUGUUCCUAUUAUCUGAUCCUUCCCCAUAUUUUAUAAUCAGGGAAAAUCCAAAUCCGUAUAUAAAUCCAGUCAAAACAUAUUUUUUUUUUCGUCAAAUUCGAGGUGGAUUCAUAUUACUACAAAAAGGUGCUUUUAACGUCGGAUGCAAAAUGCAUUUUACCUCGGAUGCAGUAGCGAAGUAACAAAGGACGUCAUGAAAAAUUGCCACAUAUCACCUCAAUGAUUUAAAUAUCAAGGGGUAACAUUAUAUGCGCAUGAGUUCGAACCCCAACAACAACACUUUUAUUAUUUUCAAAACUAUUGUAUCUUAUAUCUCAAUUUAUCUUGAAAACCUAGAGGUAAGAUUACUUUAAAAAAAAAAAUAUUACAUUGUUUACCCAUAAUAUUACAUUGUUUACAUAAAAUAUUAAAAUAAAAAUCCGAGAAUAUUCUCUAGAGAUAUAGAUAAUUAUACAAAGUUAAUACAAAGUUAAUUUGACUAACAUAAUUAAUACAACAAUAUCGACAAUACAUAUAAUAACAUAACAUAAUUAUACACUUUAUUUCAAUCUUUAUUUAAGAAUAAUUUGACUAAAUUAAAAAGUUACAAUAAAAUAAGUUAAACUAAUUCAAACCAAUAUUAAAAUAAUAGAAUAUAAUAACUAAAAUAAAGUUCAAAUAAUUAAGAAUAUAUAAAUUAAAUAAGAUCGAAUAUUAAAAAUAAAUAAUACAUUAUAUUUCAUUAAACAACAAAAAAAUGAAUUUGAGUUGAACUACGACAAACACGUCUUAAUUGACAACAAAAAACAAUAUUGAUUUGAACGACAAAAAAUAUUAUGUUGGAUAUCACUAUGUUUAAAAGAGACGACAUGACGAUGAUGAAAAGUGAUUUAAAGAAAAACUAUAAUGGAGUGACAGAACUUAGAAGUUUGUAUUGUUGUAAAAAAAACAUAGACUUCUUUUUUGUGAUUGGGUAAUAUAUGUUAAAUUUUGAUAUUAAAAUAUUGAAAUUUUAUUUAUUUUUUUAAAAUGGUUAAUUUGAUGCUUUUUUUUAAUCGAGCGAUUUUACAAAAUCGGCUCAGAUUCUUUGGUUCAAAUGGUUUUUACGGUUUUACUCCGGUUUUAAUCCACUAACGAUUUUGAAAGAUUCACCCAACUAGAUUCAUUUUCGGUUCCCAAUCCAACCGGUUGAACCGGCCGGUUCGGUCCGGUUUUUAAAACAUUGGUUUCAAGCGCUUCAUGUUUCAUAUAGGUUAGAUUUUCAAUUUUCAGCAUGCUUUUAUAAUGGAUGUCCCUUAGAUUUCACGUGGAUCACUAAUAGGAGAUUCUUCAGCAUUGAUAAACACUAAAUGGGCGUCAAAGAAUUGUUUAAGGGCAUUGAAUAUAGAAAAAAAAACUUAAAAUUACAUUGUUUACACAAAAUAUUAAAAAUACAUUGUAAAAUCUGUUUCCCAAUGAGAAUUUUUAUUUUCCAUGCCCAGGUCUCAUACAAGACGUUAGAUAUCUGUUUUCCAAUGAGAAUAUUAUUUUCUGCACUUACAAUCCAUCCUAGAGAUAUGUAGUAGCAACUCAUGAUCAAGUGAACGGUGGUGAAUAUCUCUUCCAACAGAUAUUCAUCAAAACUCUUCCAGUUGAUCUCUAGGAUAAAAUGACGUUUAAUGAAUAUCUCUUUGGGGCGGCUACAUAUAAGUUAGUCUGAGGGUAAAAUAUGUUAACGAGUGUUUUUAUAAUAAAGUGUGAUUAUUAAACACCUCGAUUUUAUUAUAAAAUCGAGGUGAAUAAUUCUAUUUUUUUAAUUACAUUGUUUACAUAAAUUAUUAAAAUGCAUUGUUUACAACAAAUCUUCCGUGAUAUCCAGAUUUUGUUGGAUACCCUUUAAAACAAUUUUUUUUGAAACAAGAAAGAUAUUAUGUUCUUGUAAUUUAUCAAAUGAGUACUCUUCAAAGAUUGAACUCCCUUCUUUAACGGAGGGUUAUUCCGAAAAUACAAAAAUGACAACAUCAACAUCAUUAUGUGAGAUACAUUGCAAGGGCAGAAAAAAUAUUUUAUUCAAAAUAGAACAUUGAAGUUUUGUUCUGUCUUGCAAUCCAUCCCAAAUAAUGAUGCUUGCGAGUUUGGGACGACUUAAUAUUAAUAAGGAUUAUGGUAAAAAAAAUUUAACGAGUGCUUUUAUAGAUUUUUUUAAUUAUUUUAUGCCGCGAUUAAAUAGAAAACCGAAGAGUUAGAACAUUUUGUUUACACUUAUAAACAAAUAAAACCAUAAGUUGUGAUAGUUGAGAAUCAAAGCUUGUACUGAGUUGUUUUUUCACCUCGGUGUUAUGAAAAACGAGGGAAUAUAUGGUUUUAUUUUUUAUUUUUUUAAAUAAUAAAAAAUAGCACGCCUUGACUUUAUACUUCAUUUUUCUAUUGUUUGAGCUGAAAGCUUCAUCAUGAAAAGCGUUAUUUAUUGUAGUGUCAACUGAGUAUCCGCGAGUAUGGGUUAUGUUGACAUGCCUAGUUGAAACUCAAUGAUUUAGAGUUAAGGAAUUGUGAAACUCAUUUAUUGGUUUGAAAGUGAAUAUGAUGUUUGCAUCAUAAGAUAAAUGAGACCAUGCGGAAACUAUUUGAAACACAUUAGUAAUUUUUUUGGACUAAAAAUGACAUUCAUUCAAAUUGAUAGAAUACAUUUGAUAAUACAAAUUUAAAAUCACUAUAAACUAAAAAUGAUGCAUCUGCGAACAAACUCACAACAACCACAUUAAUAGCAUAUAACAGCAAAAUGCCCACAAAUGUGACAACAUACAAAUGACGAAAUUGAAAUGCUCGAAAUAUCCAUAUCUCCGAGUUUGCAGCAUUGACAACGUCAAAGUCAUUAAUUAAAUAUGCACCGAGUCAAAACUAAUAUGUUAAUCUGAACCAAACAAACAUCACACCAAAACGAUAAUAACGCACAAUAAGACGACGAAAUUACAGGAACAAAAAUUAAAAAUAUAUGUGAAAUCACUUAUUUAAAUAAAAAGCAAAGGAAAAAUAAUUUAGAGUAGUGAUUUUGAAUAAAAAAUUGACUCUAAAACUACAUCUCUUUAUUAGAUGAAGAAAAAGAAAAAAAGAUAGAGUUGAAGGAAGAAGGGAGGCCACGCUUUGACGCAUUAGUAACUUAAAGAAUUUUUAUACAAAUAUUUUACUUAAAUGGGAAUAUGUCAUACUAUGCAUCACAUUUUUUAUAGUAGGGACAAAGACACAGUCAAAAGUAUCUCAGAGUAAAAUUUUGUAUUUAUUGAUUAAUGAUUUAGGUGGAUGAAACUUUUAUUCAAACGUGACAUUCAUGUCCGACAAAAAAAAGUAUUUUUUUUGGACUUCUGUGUCUGCAUUAUGUUUAUAUAGUAAUGUGACAAUGUGAUUGCUAUGAACAUUUUUGUAUAAUUUAUGAAUUCUGUUUUGUUUUGAUACCUGGUGUAUUUCUGAUUUUAUGAUCUAUUGAUAUUUUCUUGAUGCAUUUUGAUGUCAUGAAAGAUUAUGAUUCCUACAUGCAUUCUUUUCCACAUACAACUAGUUUCCGCACAAUUUUCAUGUACUUCUAUUGCCUGCAUUAUUUUCAUCCACUAACAUAUGAUUUCUUGAUGCAAAUCUAAGCUCGACCAACGGAUCUGCGAUAAAAUUUAUUAGAAGAAAACAUGAUUGUAUGCAUGGUGAGUAUGCAUGAUCAUAAUUAUGGAUGUGCAAGAGUACAUACAUAUGUUGUUAGAGAAGAUAACUAACUCAAAAGUUAGUUAGCUGUAUAUAAGAACUUAAGUCUCACUUUAUAACUCAAUUAGUAAAAUUGCCAUGCAAGCUAAGUUUGUAUGAGUCUCAAUAAUUCAUUCUCUCAUUCAUGAAAGCAUUCACUUAUCUUAAUAUGGUAUUAUAUGCCUAGAAAGGGUCGCUUCCGUUACAACAUCUUCAACCUUAGGAAGUUCUCGACUCAAAUGGAAGGUUGAUAUUUAAGGCUCCAAUGUCUCAGAAUAGAACCUUCAAGAUUGAGCUUAAUAUGAUAGAGCAUAAGUGCCUUGCAACAGAAGCCAACAGAGAUGAAUGGAUAUGGCAUUAUAGACCUAGUCAUCUCAAUUUCAAAGACAUAGGAGAUUUAAAGAGAAGAAAUAUGGUUUCAGGAUUACCAGAAAUCGACAUUCCAAAUGAAGUGUGUGAAGAAUGUGCGCAGGCGAAGCAGCACAAGAACAACUUCAGUAAGGAUGCAGGAAGCAGAUCGAAGACAAUUCUUGAAGUCAUAUAUUCUGAUGUAUGUGGUCCUCUCCAAGUGGAUUUGAUUGGAGGUAACAAAUACUUUAUUACAUUCAUAGAUGAUUUCAGUCGAAAAUUAUGGUCUUACCUGAUCAAGAAGAAAAGUGAAGUGAUUGAGGUAUUUGCCAAGUUUAAAUCUAUGGUCGAAAGACACAACGGUAGAAAGAUCAAGAUUCUGAGGACUGAUGGUGGUGGAGAAUAUGUGUCAAAAGACUUCGAUGCAUUAUGUGUGAAAGAAGGGAUUGUGCAUGAGGUGGUGCCACCCUACACUCCACAGCAGAAUGGAGUCGUAGAAAGGAAGAAUAAAACCAUCAUGAAUAUGGUUAGAAGUAUGUUUAAAGGAAAGCAUCUACCCAAAUAAUUAUCGGGAGAAGUUGUGUCGACUACAACAUAUAUCCUGAACAGAUGUCCGAUGAAGAAGCUAGAAGGAAUCACGCCAGAAGAAUGUUGGUCUGGUGUCAAGCCUAGCUUGAGUCAUCUAAAGGUGUUUGGAUCUAUAGAACAUAGACAUGUGUUAGAUCAGUUGAGAAGAAAACUUGAUGACAAGUCGAAUCAAAUGAUCCUGAUAGGAUAUCAUUCGACUGGAGGAUACAAGUUGUUCGACCCAGUGAAUAAGCAAGUGGUGAUCAGUAGGGACAUGUUCAUAUAUGAGCUUAAGGAGUGGGAUUGGACUGAGAGUGUCAAGAAAGAUUUAGUGAGAAUCUUUUAUGAUGAACCAGCUAGUGAAGUCGAAAGAGAAGUUCAACAGGAAGAAGUCAGAGGUGAAGCAGGCCCAAGCAGACCUCAAAGAAUAAGACACAUGCCUACAAGGUUGAAAGAAUGUGUGAUUACAUUAGAUGAUAUGGUCAAUGAAGAAGGUGAGCUGAUACAUUAUACUUUCUACGCAGAUGUCAAAAGAGUCAAUGCAGCUAAGGCAUUGAAAGAUUCGAAGUGGAUGAAAGCAAUGAAUGAAGAGCUGAAGUCAAUCGAAGUCAACAAUACUUAGUCACUUGUCGAAUUGCCCCAAAAUAAGAAGGCAAUCGAUGUGAAGUGGGUAUACAAGGUGAAGUUGAAUCCCAAAGGAGAAGUGACUCAACACAAGGGGAGGCUUGUGGCGAAAGGAUUUCCUCAGAAAGAAGGAAUCGACUUCGAUUAAGUUUUUGCACCUGUUGCUAGGAUUGAAACAAUCAGGUUGGUUAUUGGUCUAGAAAACAUAAACAACUAGCAGAUGUGUCAUAUGGAUGUGAAAUAUGCAUUCCUUAAUGGCCCCUUAGAAGAAGAAAUUUAUGUUGCACAACCAGCUGGGUUUGUGAAACAAGGCAAAGAAAGAAAGGUGUACAAGCUGCAUAAAGCCCUGUACGGACUUAAACCAGCUCCAAGAGCUUGAAACAAGAAGAUUAAUGGUUUUCUAAGGGAGAAGGAAUAUAUGAAGUGAAAAUAUGAACAUGGAGUAUAUGUAAGAAGAAGCAAUAGUGAAUUGCUUAUAUUAUGCCUCUAUGUUGAUGACCUGUUGAUAACAGGUAGUUGCAAGAAGGAGAUCGAAUACUUCAAAGGUGAUCUUAACAAGGAAUUCGAAAUGUCAGAUCUGGGUGACAUUUCAUAUUUCCUUGGCAUCGAAUUCUACAAGAGUGGCAGAGGUUUGAUGAUGCAUCAAAAAAGGUAUGCAGGCGAAAUACUCAAGAGAUUUGAGAUGCAAGAUUGCAACCCAACUUCGACUCCAGUUGAGCCCAGAUUACAACUGUUUAAAAAUUCAGAUGAAGAUGAUGUCGACCAACCAAAUACAGAAGACUUAUUGGGUCACUUUGAUACCUUUGUCACACAAGGCCUGACUUAUCAUACAGUGUAGGUAUGGUGAGUAGAUUCAUGCAGAUGCCAAAGGUAUCACAUCUAGCAGCGGCGAAGAGGAUACUAAGGUAUCUGAAAGGAACUCUCGACUAUGGAAUUUUGUUUCCCGCAACUUAUGAAGGAAAAGAAUGCAAAUUAUUGGUAUACACCGACUCAAGUUGGUGUAGUGAUGCUGAGGAUCGAAAAUCCACAGUGGGCUAUGUGUUUAUGCUAGGUGGUGCACUAGUUGCUUAGAGUUUGAGAAAGGAGGCAAUAGUGGCAUUAUCGUCAUGCGAAGCAGAAUACAUAGAUGCUUCUCUUUGUGCAUGUCAAGAAAUGUGGAUGGUGAAUCUGGUAGAAGAGAUAAUAGCGAAGAGUCAUGGAGCAAUUACCAUGAAGAUCUACAGCAUGUUAGCUAUCAAUCUGGCGAAGAAUCCGAUAACACAUGGUCGAAGCAAGCACAUAGAGACGAGGUUCAAUUAUCUUCGAGAGCAUGUAGAAUAUGUGAAGAUGAAUGUGGAACACUAUAGAACUGAGAAUCAGAUUGCAGACAUCAUGACAAAGGGAGUGCAUGUCGAGGUGUUUAGAGCACUAAGAACUAUGAUGAAUGUAGAUUUAGACACGACGAAUUAGGUGGUGUAAUGAAUUGUAAUUCCUUGUGUCGAAGCAGGUUUCUCAACAAAACAAGUAAGUGUCAAACCUCCUAGGGUGUUGAGUUGUGUUAGUGUCGAAGUGUUGAAGUUUCGAAGCAUGUUGCUUCACACAUGAUUGAUUGAGAUUCUUCAUAGGUUGUGGUGGAUUUCCAACAAUACCAACCAACUUCUUUCAUCUACAAAUUUAUUAAGUCAAUUUCAAUUAAUUUUCAAUAAAGACAAAUUAUUGAAUAAAAAAAAUGAGGAUAUAAAAUCAAAUUCAUCAAAAGGCGUUAGUUAGACAUGCCCAACCUAUUUUUCAAAACAAAUUCAAAAACACAAAUUACAAGUGAAUCCCAUAAGUGUCAUCAUCAACAAAAAUUAAUAUUGAUUAAUUUAUUUGCACGUACAUUUUUCUUUUUAAAAAUAUAAGAUAUCUUAAAUUUAAAAUUAUAAAAUAUUAUUCAAUUUAAUUAAAAGAUACUAAUGAACGAUAGCACGAAAAGUCAAUAAUAACUUAAUUUCAAGUAAAGAAUUCUCCAAUUCUUAACGUUAGCACCUUCAAUUAAUUUAAAUUAUUACUAAAUUAAUUUAACUAUUACUUAAGCAAACAAAUAAAUUGACGAAUUAAUGUAGUAUACCUGUUACAAUUUCUUUUUGUAUAAUACGAUGCGUUGUUAUGGAAAUAAUAGAAAAAGGUGUCUGUCUAUAUUUGAGAUAGAGGUAUUUUUGUGAAAAAAGAGAGAAUAAAACAUGAUUGUGCGACUUCCAUGCCUUUGGACCAAUCUAAUCCAUCAAAUGAAUAUGGUGAUAUACAUCGAGCCACAUGUGCAACUUUAUUUUUUUAAAAACUUUUUCAAAACAGGGUUGUUCUUCAUCUACCUAAUUUCAUCUUUUCCUAUUUUAACUCAUUUAUAUUAGCUACUUCAGUUUCUUGCAUGAAUUAAUUCCUGAUCAAUUUUAAAUGAUAACACUAAUUAGAUUUCUAAUUCAUAAUAAAUUAAUAGAUUAAAGAGAAUGAUCAAAAUUAACAGUUUUAUUAAAGUUUUGUAAGACCUUAAUUUUUAUACAUCUCAUUCACCUAUCAAAUGAUUUUUAAUUGAUGUUAAAUUUUAUAUAAAUGAUAUAUAUGAUAAUAA
rnacentral:lncRNA from 1 species